rnacentral:rRNA from 1 species
GACGAGCGGCGGACGGGUGAGUAAUGUCUGGGAAACUGCCUGAUGGAGGGGGAUAACUACUGGAAACGGUAGCUAAUACCGCAUAACGUCGCAAGACCAAAGAGGGGGACCUUCGGGCCUCUUGCCAUCAGAUGUGCCCAGAUGGGAUUAGCUAGUAGGUGGGGU